UAGAGACAAAAACACUUUAGG
rnacentral:piRNA from 1 species